rnacentral:rRNA from 1 species
UAAGGAAUAUUGCUCAAUGGGAGAAAUCCUGAAGCAGCAACGCCGCGUGGAGGAUGAAGGGUCUAUGACUUGUAAACUCCUGUAAAGAAGGAAAAAAUUCCCAUUAGAUGGGAGAUGAUGGUACUUCUGGAGUAAGCCCCGGCUAACUACGUGCCAGCAGCCGCGGUAAUACGUAGGGGGCAAGCGUUGUCCGGAUUUACUGGGUGUAAAGGGUGCUCAGGCGGAUUUGUAAGUCAGAGGUUAAAUCUUACAGCUUAACUGUGAAACUGCCUUUGAUACUGCAAGCCUAGAGUAUGGAAGAGAGUGAUGGAAUAUCUGGUGUAGCAGUGAAAUGCGUAGAUAUCAGAUAGAACACCAAUGGCGAAGGCAGUCACUUGGUCCAUUACUGACGCUAAAGCACGAAAGCGUGGGUAGCAAACA